CGCGGAGGAUUCCGCCUGGGCCGGCCUGGGGGUGGUGAGGGCUGUAGAUCCCCCCCAAAUAGCCCAGGUCACCAUCCCCACCCCCAUCCUUCAUGGAUCUGGGAGGCUCAGCCUUUCCAACGCGGAGAAAUUUCAAGCACUUCUAAGUGUACAUCCAAGAAAAUUGAGAACAUUUGUCCAUGCAAAGAUCUGCACACGGGUGUUCAAAGAAGUGUGACUUACAAUAGCCAAAAGGUGGAGACAGCGCAAACGCCCAUCACAGGAUGAGUGGGUAAACAAAUGUGGUCCAUCGACACCGGGGAAUGUGAUUCAGCCUCAGAAAGGAAGGAAGCACUGACCCCGCUACAACAUGGAUGAACCGUGAAGACGCAUACACAAAAGUGAAAGAAGCCAACACAAAAGGACACAUAACGC